rnacentral:rRNA from 1 species
GAAUUUACAUGAAGCCUAGCGAUUGUAAAUUUAGUGGCGGACGGGUGAGUAACGCGUGGGUAACCUGCCUUGUACUGGGGGACAACAGUUGGAAACGACUGCUAAUACCGCAUAAGCGCACAGCUUCGCAUGAAGCAGUGUGAAAAACUCCGGUGGUACAAGAUGGACCCGCGUCUGAUUAGCUGGUUGGUGAGGUAACGGCCCACCAAGGCGACGAUCAGUAGCCGGCCUGAGAGGGUGAACGGCCACAUUGGGACUGAGACACGGCCCAAACUCCUACGGGAGGCAGCAGUGGGGAAUAUUGCACAAUGGGGGAAACCCUGAUGCAGCAACGCCGCGUGAGUGAAGAAGUAUUUCGGUAUGUAAAGCUCUAU